AGAAAUUAAAUAGAAAAUUCUCUGCAUCUCUGCUAUACCCGCCCCUUCCCAACAGUAUGAUUUAAAUAACCCGUGCUUAUUAUGCACAUAUGUGUUUCCUAAGGCAGGUAGGUUUCUUAGCUCGACCUUUAAAUGGAGUGGCUUCUUAAGUUCCUUCUGCAGAGAACUGCCACCACUCUCUUUCUGCCUCGUCCUCAGGCUUUCGUUUUAAAUCUUCUCCCCCUAGGUUCAAACCAUCCUGGCUGUUUGGAUUUUCCAAAAGUCUAUGGCCAGCCAGAUGCUACCCUGUGGUAGGGUUGUUCCCUAAGGGAACUGGCACCGUCCAGAGACAUCCGGGUCCAUCAUGGGGCAGCUGUCCCAGGACAGCAGCAAAUUGUGCUGGUCCCCAGGCCCCUCUCUGCACAAUCCUUUAAAACCACCACCACCACCACCACCACAAAGUCAAAACCCACCCCCUUGAGAAACUACCCAUGGAGAGCUCCUGGCUGGAGAACACAGCCUCUGUGGCAAUGUGACAGGUGUGGCUUGUCAUAACCCAUCCGUGCUCACACAACAUCGUGUGGCUUGCCCAGCUGCCUCCAGGCCCCAUACACACCUGUCUGUGUCAAGAGCUACCAGUGGCUUCUCAUCAGGGCUCUGGUCAAGCGAGGAGUAGCCUUUAUUAGGGACGACCAGCCUGGGUAAAAAAUGGGGAGUUGGAGUACCAGCUGGAGCAUAUAAACAGGACAUGGGGUCUCCCUCUCACUGCUAUCCCUCCUCCGCCCCCCUGGAUUCCUCUGAGAACGGAGAGGGUGGAGACCAGCAAUGGGCUGCCCAUGCUGCCAUUCUUCAGGGAACCCUUCCGGGCCAGCUCCCUUUGCUUCUCUGCAGAAAACAUGGGAAAGAAGCUGUGUCCUGCCCAGUGGCUGCCAUGCCACGCUGCUGGGGGCAGCCUGGUCUGGGCCUUUCUUCUAGACAUGCACUUCUCGACUUGGUAGAGAUCCCGUGGACCUCCAGGGACCUGAUGCUCCGUGGACAUGCACUGGGCCUUGCAUAACUGAGGUACACAGUGGCAGCCAAAAAGAGGAGACUGGCCCCUACCCUGUGGGGACCACAGUUCCUAUGGCAGGGAAGGCUGGAGAGGAAGAGAUGAACACAGAUGGCUGAAGCAGUCAAAGAGGCCGUUACAAAGGGAGGAGGACAUUAAGGGGGAAAGUAUGUACACAAGCAACACAAGAGAACACAGCUGUGGAUGUGAAUGAACAGAGGGAGAAGAGGUGAUAAAGAGAUGAACUUGGAAAAGGUGCCAUUCAUUCAGUUAGUUAUUCACUCAAUAAAUACUAGAAUUGCAACUAUGCAUCACAUACUAUAUCACAGGGAUGGAAGGCUGCCAGUGGUUAAAAACUCAGAGCACACACAGAGACCCCCAUCUCCAAAAACAAAACAAAACAAAACAACCCCCCCCCCAAAACCAGAAAAACCAAAAACAAGAGAAAACAACCAAACCGUCAGAGUGCAAAGGCCUUGGCCAUGGGACUGAGGCGUUUGGGAUUGAUGAGGAUGGAAAAGGAGCUACUAAGGGGAAGAAAGGGACCUUGGUCAGGAUAGGGCAGGAGGCUGAGAAACCAGUCUGCUCGGAGCCCCUGCGCUGUGGGGCUGGUGACCUACUAUGUGGUGCGUAUGACUGGGAACUGGCGACCUACUAUGUGGUACGUAUGACUAUAGGAACUGCCUUUCAUACUAAUGUCAAGUGAAGCCAUGAUGUAGGAAAAAGGCUUGUUCCAUGAUAGAAACAUGGCGUCGGGUGUGGGUGGGUGUCUCUUUAGUGUAACUGUGGGAGGAGCCAUUGCAGCACCUGUGAGUCCCUUGAAAAUGAUCUCCGAUUUCCACAUCUUUGAAGUUUCCUACCCUCUGACCUCUUUGCCUCUGUUUUAGUUUUCCAGCCUCUCCAAAUGCCAUUACCAUAUCAAGCCUCUAGGGGGUGCAAUUUGCCUUACAGUUCUUGGUAAUUUUCUUUAUCUCAAGUGAGACAAGUUGUGAAUUUUCAUGAGCUUUGGUGGUGAAACAACAGUGAAGGAAAUAAAAAUGUUAUUUUAGAAGCA